AUAGCUGAAGUUUCGCUGCUUCCAGACCAACUACACCAAUAUUUUGCUUUCCAAGAGUCUCCUGAGCUUUUUCUAAGACUGACUGAAGGUGAAAGGCCAUUCUGUUUGAAUUGGAAGUAGACAGGAUCAUGUACCUCAAGCUGCUCGUGUAGCCUUCUCUGGACUUCGAUUUGCAUCUGCAAUGCGUCGUUUAUAUGUCUUUUGCACAUAGACACACUGAGAAACAAACUCUUACAGACCCCUUUGGAAUACCAUCAAUUGGCGAGGCUAGGAAUAAGAAUGCUCAUUGUUGUACAUUAGAGUACUCGACUUUUCCACUGUUCAGAUUUACUGUGGCUAUCUUCUCCCAAAGGCGUAUGAUUCUCCACAUUGGUGAAAGAGGGAAACUUAUAUAAGGUAUUGUUCGAUUUCUGUACUUGCAUUUCCUUUUAAGGCCCCUUAUGCGAUAUUAAGGCAUCUACUGAUGGAAAAACAAAUGGGGUGGGGUCGUUUUUUGAUGCUCAAACCCAACCUCCCCCCUCAUACCCAAAGCUAAAUCAAAUGGGAAGGGGCCUACUUAGGCUGGUCUAUCUCAUACUAUGUGGCUAAUUUAACAUUGUUGAAGUUGUGUUACUUUCCAUACCCUAUUAUAACUAGGUGAAAUGAACAUUAAUUUACUUUCCAUUAGAAUACAACUAUUGUUUCUAUUAUAUGGUUCAAAAUAAUCUUAUGAUAGCACUUGAAAAUUUGUGUCAAUAUCUAUAUGCUCGACCACCUUACCUUAGGUACCUAGAAAUUAAACUCAUGUGAGUCACGUCAUAAACUAAGUGGUGGAGGGAGAGCCACCGCACUCGUGCACGAGAUGGGCUUUUCCCUUAAGGUGGUGUCAUAGAUGCUCUUUGGAAGAGAAGCAGCAUGGUCUAUGUGAUGUUUUGAUAGUACAAAUCAAGCUGAAGUUGAACACAAACAUGUGUUAAGAUGCUUGAUAAUUGCUCCUUGUUGACCACACAAGAGUGGCCCUUGGAUUUCCAUUAGAAAUUAAAAGUGAGAAAUGACCACGGAAUGAUAUUCCUUGUUGUAAAAAGAAAGUGGGGAAGAGCAGUAUAAAGUUUUUAUUUUUUUAAUUUUUUUUAUUUUCCCCAAAAUUCUUAGAGAAUAAGAAUAUUAGAAUCAUGACUCAAAGUAUAGCCGGUGGGUUUUAUUCUUCAAGUCUAGAAUUUUAAUUUGUAUUUAUUCUCACAAUUUGAAACCACUAAAAAUGGGUUCGCAUUUGUACUUUCAUUCUUUACCUAUAUAGGAUUUUAAUAGUUUUUAUUUUCAAAAAAUUCUACUUUUAAUAAUGUUCAUGAUUGAUGAUGAAUAUGAUCAUUAGGGUUACAUCUUCUAUUAUUGAUAGUGAAAGGUUUACUGCUGAUGAAUAAUGAAGUUCAUCAGUCGUCACCAUCCUAUUUUUAUUUACUUUAUUUAGAUAAAGCUUAUUUCUGCUUAAAGAAAAGACUACGGCGGCUCAAAUUCUGUUUACUAAUUUAGAGGCCACUGAAUUUUAAUUUACUAAAAAACUUACUCCGUAUUAUUUUUGAAGCCAUACAAUUUAUUCAUGACCUUAUGCUUGAAUAUGAACACAUCCAAAUUGUAAAUAUUCCAAUAUCAUUGAAUAAUUACCCCCUCGUUUUCAAAUAAGACAGAUGAAUUUAUUGAGAAUUCUUAUCGAAAAAAAGCUUAUCAAGAUUUAGUUUUUUUCUCAAAUUAUAGAAAGAUUUUCUUAGAUAAUGCUAAAAGAAUGACAAUAUCCUCAAUUAUGUUGAUUUAACAAAUAAUAUCAAUUUUUUUUUUACCAGCUCAGCAACAACUGACAACUGAAUUAAUGAAUUUAUUCUUGGUGAAUCCCUAUGAAAACUAGGAAAAAUUUAGAGUCAGUAGGAUGGUCAGCAUAGAAUCGCUAAUUACGAUUCAAUUGUUAUAAAACUGCCAAGUGCUAACUUAUGCGAUUUAUUUCUGACCGAGUCAGUUUAGCUGCUAGCGUGGACGAUAAAUAUGAAAACUUUAGUAAAAGUACAUGAGGAAUUUUGGUUCUUUUAGUAUUGAUCUCCUAUUUUUUCCUGAUAUAAUAAUCUCUUAGCUUUGUUCUCCUCACUUAUUUUAGAUAAGUUAAAAUAAGAUAAGAUAAAAGCUAAUAAGUUCAAACAAGAUAAGGGCUAGUAAUGCCUAACAAUAAGAUCAGAUAAGGGUUUAUAAAUUAAAUAAGACAAGGGUUAAUAACUCCGAUCCUAAUGAAAUAAGUAAAAUCCUGGUGAAAGUGUACCUAUAUAAGUGAUCCCCUCUUGAGUAAUCUUUGAUCUUAGAGAAAUGAAAGGUUUUUCCUUAAAAUUAAAGAGUGAUAGAAAAUCACAUUAGAGAUGUGAGACAUGGCAUUAUUUAUUGCAUUGUUGUGCAUUGAAAAUUAGAACUUAGGCAAUUUGUUUCUGCCUUUUGUAUUUGGGUUGUUUGCGUAUGUAAAAGACAUAAAGAAAGUGGGCUUGCUAUGUGACGUAACAUUAGAUAGAAGCAAAUGGAGGGGGAGGACCUUUGUGGAUGACCAAAAUGAGAUAGACUCUCGGUUCAUGCAACUGACUCCUCUUUGGGAAUACGCUAUGGCAGUAUGGCUUUAUUGUUGUCUUGUUUGUCUAUGAGAAGAGAUGAUGAAUGAAAAAUGAAAAUUUGAAACAUAUAAAGAACAUAAAAUUGGAGAUUGAUGAAUAUUUUUGAAGUGAAAUAAGAAGAAAGUCUUGAAACUGAUAAAAGGUUUUUUGUUUAGAAAGGUCACAAGUCAGGCAUGGACAACACUCGGGGAGGUGGAGAAAACAAACAUUAAAAACAAAAUUGAAAUACAAGGGGAAUAUAUAGACAUGCUAUGCAAAUUUUCAUGAGAAAUACUUAUUAGAAUAUUCCAAAUUUUCAUGUAGUGCUCCGGCCAUCCGUUCUUAAUGUUUUAUCAAUUUAUUGUGACAUCAAAUAUCAAGGGGAACUCAAGUUAAAUGUAGAUGCUUUCUUCGCUAAGAUCUGUCUAGAUAGCAUGGGAAGGUGGACUGCUAAGUGCUGAUUCCGAAAUCAACUCAGCUCCCUACAUCACUGUGAGCUGCAAAAUUUUCGAGCUGUCGUGAGAUGGUGCAGGAAUUAUGGAUGGAAUAAUGUGAUCAUUACAACAAAGCUGUAGAAAAGUUAUUUGUUCCACCACUGCUCAUCCUUGGAAAUACCUGAGUACGAUGUGCAGGGGUGCUGCCUGCUAAGGGAGAGCCUGGGGAAGAUUUAGUUUGAACCAACCAAGGCGGUAGUUGAUCACCUUGCAGGAGAGGAAUGAACUAGUGGAAGUUUAUUAAAGUUGAAUUAGUUGAUCUCUAAGUUUUUGCUAAGAUUAUUGUUAUGUGGAUUUGCUUGCUGCCUGUAAUGCUAAUUUUAGGGAACACCUGCCCAUAUCAAGUUCCCUUUCAUUCAAAAAUAAAACUACGGAAAAGAGGGAGGAGGGAUCACUCAUGUUUCUAUUUUUAAUUUUUUUUAUUGGAAUUAAUUGCUAAACAUCACCAAGAAUUGCUAGGUACCGCUUCAUUUUUGACGUUUUUUCCCCUCUCAUCCCAUAAUUAUCUCCUUUAUCUCCCUCCUCUCACAAUUAAACUCACAGUACCACCUUAGCUGCCUACCCAAAAACAAUAACAAUAAUGCCAUCCAAAGACAGUGGAAUGCGCCAUUUGAAUGAUUUAAUGGUGUCUGUGGUGGUGAUCACGGCGUAGUUGCUAUUAAUAUUAAUGACACCCUUUUUGGAGAAUAGAAAAUUGUGAAAGAAAAACAUAAAAUUUAUUAAUUAAAGGAGUCAAAGUCCAAGAGGGAAAUGAAAUAAGAAAUAAAUGACGGUAAGAUGAGAUAAAUGAAAUAAGAAAUAUUAUAUCAAAGCAAGUAGGGUAAAAAGACAUGAAAUCAUGGGUGAAUGAAUGGGAAAAGAAAAUACAAGCAUAAAAGAUGUAAAUAUACCAAUUGACUAUUAUUGCAGUGGUGAUUGGGGCUUCACUUGAUAAGGAGGAUUGCGUGUUCAAUCCCUCGCAACAAUUAUUGGGAGGGGAUUGGAAUCUAACCACCCAUAACUGAACCCUAAAUUCAGAUUAAGCCAAAGGGUGAACCAUGUGAAAUACAAAAUAAUAAAAAAAAA